GAAUCCCAGAGUAUAUAAAGAUAAAAGUUCACCAACAAACAGACCACCUCCAUAAUUUGAAAAUGAUACAGAACAGCAAAAUAGACGAUAGCCUCAAAUUAAACUGACACCACAGUUAUAUCGAAAUCAUAUCACGUGAAAAAAGAGAUUAUGAAGUAGUAGAGUCAUGCCAUAAUUCUUCAGAGUCCAAAUCCGAAGAUCGCCCGGAUCUUAUGGAAGAUCAACUCCCUCCAUCCUCUUUCAGUGUUCUCCACCACAGUUCCAUUACCAUACUUGUCCUCCACCGGUAUAUCAGUCUGCACCAGCUUCACAACCGUAACCCCCGACUCCGGCUCAUCAAAUGUCAGCCUCACCGUCGAGUAAACCCCAUCCGGCCAACUCCCGAACCUCCACUUCUGCACAAUCAGCUUCCCCUCCUGCAACUCCUCAUUCACCCCAGUAACCGAUCCGUCAAAAAUACUAAACUCCCCGCCAACCUCUUUACUAAUCCUCGCAUUACUCUGUGUAAACCCCUUCCAUCUCUUAUCAUCCAUCAGGAUCUCAUACAUGUUCCCCGGCCGGCAGUUGAACUUCUCUGUCAUUGUGAUCGUCUUAAACCCCUCCUUGGAUUUCGCCUUCUUCACCGCUGUCGGAGCAGGAGGGGAGGCAGCUGCAGCGGCAGCAAGAGCAGGCUUGGCGGCGGGCUUCUUGACCUCUAAGUCAUCCUUGGCAGGUCCGCCGUUGGACAUCGCCUGGACAUAGGCCCGGAUCUUUUCAAGGAUUAUCGGCUUGCCCUUCGCCAUGAAUGCCUCCUUGAUCCGAUUGCCGACAGGACCGGCAUCCUCACGGAGGGAGAUGCGGAGCUCAG
rnacentral:misc_RNA from 1 species